rnacentral:sRNA from 1 species
UCCUAGCCCCGAUUGCAGAGGAAAUCCUUUUUUUGUUGUCUGAGCGAAGACGACAAAAAAAAGAUUGGAACGGAAAGCGGGAAAUAGC